CACCGCAGUACACACUUACCUACUAUUGUUCCACUAAGAGGGUUGUGCAGGAAAGGGAUGAGUAUUUUUGAAGGGCUGACCUGGAAGUUGCAUCGCAAAGCCUCUCCACAAAGAGCAAUGGGUUUCCUUUCCAUAUUCAUAUAAACACCAACCUUUGCAUUAUUGAAGUAAAAAGCUAACGUUCAGGCUAUCAGCUUAUGAUAAGAUAAGAC